AGAUUGUGGGAUUUUUAUUUGUUACAUAAUCCAUCAAUACAUACAUGGCAUCGAGGUUGAGAACACGAUAGAUGGGCUGUCGCCACCUAUUUUACGCUCGGUGAUGGUGAAAAUGUUCCUGAACGACCCAAGCAAGGGACUGCGUGCAGGGAUAUUAUGGCCAGGCACCGGACCAAAGCUAGAAGCGUCGAAUUAAGCUCAUGUUUUGUCAAGCCAACCUUCGUGCCUCCCUUCGAGGUUUCGUGUCUGCUCGAGCCAAGGCUUUUGGGGUGCUUUAGAUUCACCAUUUUUGUCUUUGUUAUGUAAUGAAUGUUUAAGACUUGAUUGUACAGUUAUGGUGAAGUAUUAGGUCCCUAAUCUAUAAGCUACUGUGUAUAACCGUUUUGAUAUGUAAAUAGAUGUAUAUGGCUAUGAAUGUGGUUGUCGAUAAAAGUUUUUCCCAUUCAGGUUUUCACA